CGCGUGAGGGAUGAAGGCUUUCGGGUUGUAAACCUCUUUUCAGUAGGGAAGAAGCCGGCUCUUUGGGUUGGUGACGGUACCUGCAGAAGAAGCGCCGGCUAACUACGUGCCAGCAGCCGCGGUAAUACGUAGGGCGCAAGCGUUAUCCGGAAUUAUUGGGCGUAAAGAGCUCGUAGGCGGUUUGUCGCGUCUGCCGUGAAAGUCCGGGGCUUAACCCCGGAUCUGCGGUGGGUWCGGGCAGACUAGAGUGCAGUAGGGGAGACUGGAAUUCCUGGUGUAGCGGUGAAAUGCGCAGAUAUCAGGAGGAACACCGAUGGCGAAGGCAGGUCUCUGGGCUGUAACUGACGCUGAGGAGCGAAAGCAUGGGGAGCGAACAGGAUUAGAUACCCUGGUAGUCCAUGCCGUAAACGUUGGGCACUAGGUGUGGGGGACAUUCCACGUUUUCCGCGCCGUAGCUAACGCAUUAAGUGCCCCGCCUGGGGAGUACGGCCGCAAGGCUAAAACUCAAAGGAAUUGACGGGGGCCCGCACAAGCGGCGGAGCAUGCGGAUUAAUUCGAUGCAACGCGAAGAACCUUACCAAGGCUUGACAUGAACCGGAAUGAUGCAGAGAUGUGUCAGCCACUUGUGGCCGGUUUACAUGGUGGUGCAUGGUGUCGUCAGCUCGUGUC
rnacentral:rRNA from 1 species